rnacentral:lncRNA from 1 species
UUAAAUAAGUCAAUCAGAGUUCAACGCAGCAGUAACAACAAAACUAACUUUAUAAUAUAAUUUAAUUGACUUAAUACAAGAGUUAAUAUAAUUUCAUAGUUUUGGAUCACUAACUAGACAUAAAGGAAAAUGUACAAAUUACAACCAAAAGAGCAGGUUCUGAAGGUCCAACAAAAGUGACCUGCUAUCAAGUUAUAAGCCUGAAAAGGAUAAAUAAUGAGAGGGUGAGUUCAACAACUCAGUGAGUAGAUAACGUUCAAUACACACACACGAGGUAAUACUACAAUGAGAAAUAUAUAUUCAAUUAUGACUCUAGGUUCUUAUAGGAAGGUUUCUCAAAUAGGCCAUAACAAAAAUAUCAUAUGGUAAAACUCGUCAGAAAAUCAAAAUGCAAUGAGCAUGAGGCUCCGUACUGUGGGAUGAUCGGUCCACACGGGUUGGUGACUCCCCCGACCAACUAGGGUUCAAAUACGAUGUGCACAAAGACCACCACUACCCUGUUAGCAUGGGUAUUCUGACCAGCAUACCAUAGGUUCAUAAUCAUAAUCAAACAUAUAUAUUCAUAUCUUAAGGCUCAACUCAUGACAUCAAUCAAAUGAGGAGCUAUCAAUUCAGAAUUCAAUUCAAAAUAUAUACUAGUUCAUAUCAAGAAUUCAGAUUCAACAAUUGAUCAUGCUUUAUCAUAACAAGGAUAAUAAUAAACAUAUAAUUAUCAAGAAUCAUGAUCCAAUUCUUAUUAACAAAUCAAAUAUUUAUAAUAUUUCUCAUGCAUAUGGAAAAUUAUCCACUCACCUGACUCGAAAGCAAACAAAAGUCAAAAGCAGACACCGAAGAAAAUCCUACUGACGUCCCGCCAGUAGAAUAUCAGAAUUAUCUGAAUAAAAAGGAGACAUAUUCAAGAACGACUCGAAAGAACAUUUAACCUAUUUAAUACAUUUAACUAAGGGUGUAUUUCGUAACCCUAUAUGUUUUUGAAUAACUAGUCAAUUUUCUCAAAAACUAAAAACUUUAACGGUUUUCCUGAAAUCUAAUCCAUAAUAAAACAAAUAAUAAAAUUGAUAAUAAUUCACUAAAUAACCCUCAAUUAUUCAUCAAACUAAUCUACAAAAGGUAAUAUUACAGCUAGGGACUAAUCUGGAAUUUAUCAUAUUUUUAAGGUUCAAAUUGUAACUUUUGUCAAUUGAAGGACCAAACUAAAAAUAUCAUAAAUCCAUGACUAUACUGAAGUUCUGACCAUAAUUAAUCCUCAAUUCUGUCCAAAAUAUCUCAUUAUGCUCCAGGGACCAUUCUGGAAUUUUUUAAAAUUUUUAGGGUCAAAUGGUAAUUUUUGUCAAAUUGGAGGAUAAAAUUGAAAGUGUUUAAAAUUCAUAACUCUACUGGAAUUCUGCCCAUAAUUCAUAUGUUAUUCUGUUCAGAAUCUCGGAAUAUGCUCUAGGGACCAAUCUGCAAUUUUCCAAAGUUUGGGGACUAAACUGUAAUUUUCACAAAUUGAGGGACCAAACCGAAAUUUUGUCAUCUUCAACCUCUAACCCAGAAUUUCAACAGAAAACCUACUGUUGUUUCCAGAUUUCUAACUCAAAAUUCACCAUUUACACAAUUCAUAACUCAAAAUCAUCACAAUCUUCCAUAAUCAACUAAAUAAUCAAUUACCCACAACAAUCAACCCCAUAACAUUCAAAUUAAUUCAUCAAUUAAACCCAAAACACAAAUUUCAAAAACCUAACAUUCAUCAAAACUGAAAUUUAAAGUUCAAAAAACACAUUUAUACAUUUAUAAACCUAAAUCUUACCUUUAAACUUAUUUUCUUCAACUCCGCUUAAUUUCCCUUCUAACUUCCCUCUUUUCUCUUCUUCUUCUUCUUUCCCCUUUCUCUUCUGCCGGUUUUG